UGCGCUCUAGUCACAUUUGGCAAAUCGCCUUGGCUACAGCGGUAUGCGCUCCCUGUCACCGUCGAGCUUUAUCUAUCGUCUCACACCGAUGAAAUUGGGCUCUCUAUGUUGCUACUACUGUGAACUGACGGACGACUUUAUGAAAUGUAUUAUUUUCAUUGUCAAAUAGUCUAGGCCUACGUUUGAAGAAUUCAAUAUCUAUAACCGCGAACAAGAGCAGAACAUUCACUUCCGACGGGAGAAGCAAUCUCUUCAGUUCUCAAGCCAAAUGGUGAUUUCUUCUGAGGUUCCCAGGCCAGGGCCGUGGAGGGAUGCCCGGGGUGGAGUGUAGGACUGUGGGAGCCCCGUGUGGCAAGAGGAGGCCCCUCACCAUGAAGCUGCCCUGCUCCCUCUACUGCUCCCUGUGGCUCCUGCUGCUGCUGGUGGCCGGCUCCCUGCUGCUCCUCGUGCACCUGCAGGACGUGUCUGAGAUGCUGCAGCACACCCCAGGUGCAAAGUUUGUGGGGGCUCCGAGAUGGCCAGUUCAGAAGGGCCAGGAUGUGGAUCGAGCAGGGAUGGAAAGAUCUGACCCUGGCUUGGGUGGUAUCAGAGAUGGACCAGAGGUGGAGACCAGACCCUCCAUGCCUCCACUCCCCAGACAACCCACUGCCUCCCAGCUGCUGCCUGGCCCAUCCGUCUUAAACUCUGAAGACAUAGCCAGAAACACAAAACUACCGAUCACCAAACGCCACAGGAAGCUGCUGCUAAAGACUGGCGCCCCUUCAGGGGAGGAAUAUCAACACCAGCAGGCUCUGGCCCGGAGCCAGGAGUCCCGUCGACAGCUCUUGCGGGAGGUCUGUGCUAAGUACCAUCCCAGCGUGACAGAGGCGUCUGGCCGGCAGGUGGCGCGGGUCUUUGUGGAGGACAGGUCCGGCCUGCUGUACUGUGAGGUUCCCAAAGCCGGCUGCUCCAACUGGAAGCGUGUUCUGAUGGUGCUGGACGGCAGCGCCGCCUCCACCCACGGCAUCGCCCACGACGACGCCCACUACGCCAACCGUCUGCGCCGACUGGACGCGUACGACACGGCCGGCAUCGCCCAGAGGCUCCGCCUCUACACCAAGGUGCUGUUUGUCCGGGAGCCGUUUGAACGCCUGGUUUCGGCGUUCAGGGACAAGUUCGAGAGCCCCAACUCCUACUACCACCCUGUGUUUGGCCGGCCAAUCAUCUCUCGGUACCGUGCCAACGCGACGCGCGACGCCCUGAGGACGGGUGCCGGAGUGACCUUCCGGGAGUUCGUCCAGUACCUGCUGGACGUGCGGAGGCCGGUGGGCAUGGACAUCCACUGGGAGCCCGUCAGCCAACUGUGCAGCCCCUGCCUACUCAAGUACGACUUCAUCGGGAAGUUCGAAAGCCUUCAGGACGAGGCCAACUUCUUGUUGCGGAGUGUCGGAGCGCCCAGCAACCUCACCUUCCCCGAUUUCAAAGACAGGAACCCUGAUGCGGAGAGAACUUCCGCCAGAAUUACCCAGCGCUACUUUGCACAGUUGAACUCAACCGAGAGGCAGAGGGCCUAUGACUUCUACUACAUGGACUAUCUGAUGUUCAACUACCCGAAACCCUUCAUAGAUCUGUACUGAAGGCUUGGGUUGCCAGGUUUGAGAUUGUUGACAUUUCCGUGGAGAGAUUAUCCUGUGGGCCUUGAACAAGCACUACAGACACAUUCAAUGUUUUAAAUGUUCUUAAUCGUGAUAUUAGACUGUGAUAUAUGCUUGUUUUAUUUGACUGUUUUGAGCACAGGUCUUAUAACAUUUUAGUUUACUGCUUUUUCAAAUGUUAUUAUUCAUAGGAAAUGAACAAGCUAGUUUACUUGGUCGAUGCACUUGUAUACUACCGUAGGUUGCUGAAGUGGUAUUGAUUGGCAGGCAUUGAUUGGAGCACUCUAUAAUGGUCUCACGUGAACGUGACAGAAAACCUCUAUUAGCAGUCUGAGAAUGGAGCACUGUGUCAGGUGAGUCAGGUGGCUGAGCGGUUAAAGAAUCGGGCUAGUAAUCAGAAGGUCGCUGGUUCGAUUCCCGGCCGUGCAAAAUGACGUUGUGUCCUUGGGCAAGGCAUUUCACCCUACUUGCCUCGGGGGAAUGUCCCUGUACUUACUGUAAGUCGCUCUGGAUAAGAGCGUCUGCUAAAUGACUAAAUGUAAAUGUGUCCUUUUGAAACACCACGACUUCUGUGAAGUCAAUUAUAAUUAGGUAAAUUAGAUGUUAAGAAGCUUGUCAAGCCUUGCUGUCCCACAUGAAUGCUCUGAAUGUACCCACCCUCAGCCUCUGCUCUGAGCAUCCACCCUACAGACUGCAGCAGUGUGAAGAUAUCGACAUGACAACAACUGGUGCAAUAUGAAGAUAGAUUAUAUAUGACCACACAACGUGACAGUAUGAAUGAUGUUUGUCAGAGUGCAAUUGUAUUAUUAUUAUUCUUAUAGCAGCACGAGGGUUAAUAUGCCUACCAACAAAGGAAAUUAUAUUUAAAUCUCAUAGUCCUAAAAAAGCCAUUUCAUGUUUGUUUUUAAGCACUUUUGCCGUCAAUAAAUGUUUUAAAACGCUUUUCCAAACAAAUCCUCUAUCUAAGCUCAGGUUGACCUUGUACCCUGGUCCAGCAUCCUGUGUCCUCCAACCUGACUUUAGACCAGUCUCACACAGACCACCAGCUACCUUCACCCUGUCUCCCUGCUAGCCCAGUCUCCAUGUGUCCCUUCUCCCUACCCUGAAGA